rnacentral:lncRNA from 1 species
CAACAAGUCCCAAAGGCUCCACCUCCAGCAGACCUAGAACCUGCCCACCUCCCUGGCGGCUUGGAGCCACCGUUAGCUGGUGCCUGUCUCCCUGCUCCUGCCCUCGUGGCCCACAACCCGGCCCCAUCCUGCUUUUAUUCUCCCCGGAGCACGCAGCCUGGUGGUCUGUGCUUCCUGUGUUUCAGUCAACCUGUCCCCAUGGGACGUCAGCCCCCCAGGGGCAGUGCUCUCUGUUUCCUCCCUACGCAUGCGCGCCUUUUCCAGAAAGACAUCAGAGGGCAGGCAUGGGCAGGGAGGCCCACCCAGAGCGCGGUGUUCUGAUGGAGAAAGGAAGGGUGCUGACCCAGGGGCCCAGGAGGGCUUCCUGGAGGAGGUGGCGCUCAGCUACGUGGGCUUGGUCGCCCACACUCAGUGGCUCAUAUUGGCAAGGGCUCUCAGGAAGGCGCCUCAGCUCUGCUCUUCAGGAUGCAGCUUUGAAGGCGCAUCGGAUGAGGCCCUGCCACGCGGCCUUGGGCCUUGGGAGCUACAGGCAUCCGUGCAGUGAGGCGUCCAUCCAGCAAGUAUUGACAGGACCCUGUCGUAUAGGUGUGAGGCUUGAGGGGCCUGGAGAGGGGACCACAGAGCCCACUUCUGCAACAGAGAAUAUCCGUGGAACACAGGCAGGCCACCUGGGAUGCAGAGAUGCGGUAAAGGUAGGUCUGGGGAAGAGAAGCUGCUGGGAGGACAAUGAGGGGAACAGUGUUGGAGGCAGAGGGAACAGCCCGUGCAAAGGCUCUGAGCAAAAGGCCCCGGCUGCCCCUCUGUCCUCGGAGGGACGUGGUGGGAUGAUGGGGUGGACAGCAGUUCCAGUCAGAGGACACGAGUGUGUGCAGGGCCCUUUCAAGCAGACUUUCUCCAGCAUAGCUGUUGGUGUUGCUCACGUGGCCGCCAGUGGCCUGGCAAACGUGCCGCUGAAACCCUGCUUCAUUGUUUGGGUUUGGGCUUGUGUUUUCUUUUUAAGGAGAAACAGCUGGGAGGCCAGGAGAGCAUGGACAUUUGGAGAGAUUCCUGAGGCCACAGGCCCGGCCAGCGCUGGUUCCCCCACCGACUCCUGCGGGCCUGGGCACAGGGCUACCCGGGAGGGCUGGCCCGCUGCCCCACCAGGCAGGGUGACAGACCCGCCCACGCAGGCCUCAGACUCAGGCUGGCACGACACUGG